GACGAACGCUGGCGGCAUGCCUAACACAUGCAAGUCGAGCGAGUAGAUCCCUUCGGGGUGAAGCUAGCGGCGGACGGGUGAGUAACACGUGGGCAACCUGCCUCAUAGAGGGGAAUAGCCUUCCGAAAGGAAGAUUAAUACCGCAUAAGAUUGUAGUACCGCAUGGUAUAGCAAUUAAAGGAGUAAUCCGCUAUGAGAUGGGCCCGCGGCGCAUCAGCUAGUUGGUGAGGUAACGGCUCACCAAGGCGACGAUGCGUAGCCGACCUGAGAGGGGGAUCGGCCACAUUGGGACUGAGACACGGCCCAGACUCCUACGGGAGGCAGCAGUGGGGAAUAUUGCACAAUGGGGGAAACCUUGAUGCAGCAAUGCCGCGUGAGUGAUGACGGCCUUCGGGUUGUAAAGCUCUGUCUUCGGGGACGAUAAUGACGGUACCCGAGGAGGAAGCCACGGCUAACUACGUGCCAGCCGCCGCCGUAA
rnacentral:rRNA from 1 species